CAAAAGUCAAAGUGGAAGAGGAAUUGUUUUUUAAUCUACUUAAUCUAUUUUUUGUUGUUUUUUUGUUGGAUGCUCAGUUAUUUUCAGUUGUGUAUGUAUGACUCAUCGUCACCAUAUUUGGGUUUUCUUGGCAAAAAAUGCCUGAGUUUCCUGACUGCUGCCAUUCUGUAAACACCAUGAUCCAGGAUUCCAAUUGCAUGAGAUCCCAGUUCCUGACUCAUCUUGCUUCUCUCAUGUGCACAACUGACAGUAUGACCUUCAGACUCUCUGGCUCAUCCAUCAUCCACUGAACUUUUCACUCUGUUCUAUACUCAUCUCAUCUUUGCAAAAAAAAAGAAGAAGAAGAAAAGAAACAAAGUUUAAAAAACAACAACAAACUACAACAACCAAAAAAAAAUACCUUUGUCCAAAUCCUUGUUUAUCACUCACUGGGGAUUCCAUAUCUGUGGAGCUAUGUAACAGAGAUAAGGCAGAGGUAAAUGGAGAAAAGACUGACCAUUCACUUUUGUAAAAAUGAAUUUAAAAUGAUCAUCUUGAACCUUUUUUGACACUUUCUUCCCAUCAUUUUAGGUAAUAAAGCUCUAUUUUUGUUCCGUUCUUCA
ensembl:lncRNA